rnacentral:rRNA from 1 species
CACGAACCGUGCGAACGUUAUUCGGAAUCACUGGGCUUAAAGAGUGCGUAGGCGGCCUAGCAGGUGGGGUGUGAAAUCCCUCAGCUCAACUGAGGAACUGCGCUCCAAACCGCUAGGCUUGAGGGAGACAGAGGUGAGCGGAACUGAUGGUGGAGCGGUGAAAUGCGUUGAUAUCAUCAGGAACACCGGUGGCGAAGGCGGCUCACUGGGUCUCUUCUGACGCUGAGGCAGCGAAAAGCGUAGGGGAGCGAACGGGAUUAGAUACCCCGGUAGUCC